rnacentral:piRNA from 1 species
UCUUCAGAGAGUCCUAGGACCCAGGGAA